rnacentral:misc_RNA from 1 species
GUCCGCACAGUGUUAACUCUGGCAACCUCCUUAGCCAAUGCCGGUAGCUCCUCUCCUAGUACCUUCCCUGAUCCUCCAUCUGGUGAAGAAGAGCAAGAAGCUGACUGAAGAUCUCCUAAUUUGGCAUCUAUGUCGCGAAGAAGAGCACCAGUUCGAUCCGAAUGGGAAGCGUGGUUGAUCAGAUAGUUCCGGAACUGUGUAUUGAGAUCCGAAAGGCUUUGAUCGAGGACAUGACACUGCGUUCGGAGCUCAGAAAGAAGAGACGAAGCCUGUUCAAGGUCUU